rnacentral:rRNA from 1 species
UACGAAGGGGGCUAGCGUUGCUCGGAAUCACUGGGCGUAAAGCGCACGUAGGCGGAUUGCUAAGUCAGGGGUGAAAUCCUGGAGCUCAACUCCAGAACUGCCUUUGAUACUGGCAAUCUCGAGUCCGGGAGAGGUGAGUGGAACUGCGAGUGUAGAGGUGAAAUUCGUAGAUAUUCGCAAGAACACCAGUGGCGAAGGCGGCUCACUGGUCCGGUACUGACGCUGAGGUGCGAAAGCGUGGGGAGCAAACAGG